rnacentral:rRNA from 1 species
AUGCCGCGUGUGUGAUGAAGGUCUUAGGAUCGUAAAGCACUUUCGCCAGGGAUGAUAAUGACAGUACCUGGUAAAGAAACCCCGGCUAACUCCGUGCCAGCAGCCGCGGUAAUACGGAGGGGGUUAGCGUUGUUCGGAAUUACUGGGCGUAAAGCGUACGUAGGCGGAUUGGAAAGUUGGGGGUGAAAUCCCAGGGCUCAACCCUGGAACUGCCUCCAAAACUAUCAGUCUAGAGUUCGAGAGAGGUGAGUGGAAUUCCGAGUGUAGAGGUGAAAUUCGUAGAUAUUUGGAGGAACACCAGUGGCGAAGGCGGCUCACUGGCUCGAUACUGACGCUGAGGUACGAAAGUGUGGGGAGCAAACAGGAUUAGAUACCCUGGUAGUCCACACCGUAAACGAUGAAUGCCAGUCGUCGGGCAGUAUACUGUUCGGUGACACACCUAACGGAUUAAGCAUUCCGCCUGGGGAGUACGGUCGCAAGAUUAAAACUCAAAG